rnacentral:rRNA from 1 species
GAUGAACGCUGACAGAAUGCUUAACACAUGCAAGUCAACUUGAAUUUGGGUUUUUAACUUAGAUUUGGGUAGCGGACGGGUGAGUAACGCGUAAAGAACUUGCCUCACAGCUAGGGACAACAUUUAGAAAUGAAUGCUAAUACCUGAUAUUAUGAUUUUAAGGCAUCUUAGAAUUAUGAAAGCUAUAAGCACUGUGAGAGAGCUUUGCGUCCCAUUAGCUAGUUGGAGAGGUAACAGCUCACCAAGGCGAUGAUGGGUAGCCGGCCUGAGAGGGUGAACGGCCACAAGGGGACUGAGACACGGCCCUUACUCCUACGGGAGGCAGCAGUGGGGAAUAUUGGACAAUGGACCGAGAGUCUGAUCCAGCAAUUCUGUGUGCACGAUGAAGUUUUUCGGAAUGUAAAGUGCUUUCAGUUGGGAAGAAAUAAAUGACGGUACCAACAGAAGAAGUGACGGCUAAAUACGUGCCAGCAGCCGCGGUAAUACGUAUGUCACGAGCGUUAUCCGGAUUUAUUGGGCGUAAAGCGCGUCUAGGUGGUUAUGUAAGUCUGAUGUGAAAAUGCAGGGCUCAACUCUGUAUUGCGUUGGAAACUGUAUAACUAGAGUACUGGAGAGGUAAGCGGAACUACAAGUGUAGAGGUGAAAUUCUAGAUAUUUUGUAGGAAUGCCCAAGGGGGAAGCCAGCUUACUGGAAGAUACUGACGCUUAAGCGCGAAAGCGUGGGUAGGAAACAGG